UGACUGCAUGUCAUGAGUAAUGCUAUUAUUGUUAUAUUAUUAUACCACAAUUAUAUUACUUUCUCUGCAUGUGUGGUUAGAUGUGUUUUAUGUGUUUAACCUUUCUGUAUACAUACUGGAAUGAACCAAGGAAUUGUAGCCCUACUGCCGUUCUUUAAAACUAUGUGAUCAUGUUUUUUCUUCCAAACUCAUUGUUUUAGCACGCACGCUGACUUCCAUCAGUAAUGAUGAUAUAUAUACAUUGAGUCAUUGGCUUGUAGGGGAAAAGAGUGGGUGAAUAUAAUUAUCUCGGUCUAACUUAUACUGUUUAUUAUACCGCUAUUCGCAGCAAUAUCUUUCUCUGGUCCGAUUGCAACGCUGCCUCGUUCAAAAAUCAUAACACCGCCGCGGCCGCCACGUUUAACAGCCGGAGCCUCAAAUCAUGUCCCUUUGUGGUGAUAAAGAGGACACAGCCUGGUGUGAAGCUACAUUUAUUACGGAAGGAUGCCACCCGGGAUCCGAACACGUCCGAUAUCAUCCAAGAGAAUGUGGCAGCUGAAGGGGGAGAGGCCAAGAAAGAGGCCAAGGGUGAAGACAUUUAUCCCCCCCCCCUGAAGUACAUGGCAUCAUUCAACCCUCUUGGUGUGAACUUGAUGGGGUUGGAGGAAACUUGACUCGGCCAUCAAGCUCACCACAAUAUAACAUGAAAAGUGAAAAUUGCUGCACACAACAGUCUGUCGUCUGCACCGGGAGGCAAGGCAGCUCAAAGCCCAGGCUGUUACAAAUCCUGGGCAGUUUUUGCCCAGAGCCAGCAAUUUUUUAGAUCCAAUAGGGAUGGAUUUUUUAUGAGGUCAGGUUCAACAUGCUGCAAGAUGCCAAGAUCUAAGCCUAGUAGGAGAUAUGGGUUACAAGAGAGGAGGUUUGCUCUGGCCUUAUACUAUCAAAGUCCAAAUGCUAAUAGAUUUCUGAGCACAGUAUUUCACUUGUCUUCAGUUUCAACACUUCAAUCAUGACUCAGGGGUAUUUCAGUACAUGUUGGCUGGAGCAAACAGACUCUGACAGCCCUGCAGCAAAGACCACAGACUUUGUCAAAAGAAGAGAAACUUCGUGGGAUUUGCCAUUAUUUAGUAUUACUCUUGUUACGCCAAGAAUUUUUUCCAUAUACUUUGCCAAAUAUUGCAAGUAAUGCACCAUUGUUGGGCUUGCUUGUUAUAAAUCAUAUCUUGUUCAAUUAACAAGCUUUGGGUGUCUGCCACUUUCCAGUUGUAAUGCAAGGAAUAAUUUAUCUUCCCUGCUAGAUAUCACACGUAAUGCACCAUU